GAUGAAGAACGUAGCGAAAUGCGAUAAGUAAUGUGAAUUGCAGAAUUCAGUGAAUCAUCGAAUCUUUGAACGCACAUUGCGCCCGCCAGUAUUCUGGCGGGCAUGCCUGUUCGAGCGUCAUUACAACCCUCAGGCCCCCGGGCCUGGCGUUGGGGAUCGGCGGAAGCCCCCUGUGGGCACACGCCGUCCCUCAAAUACAGUGGCGGUCCCGCCGCAGCUUCCAUUGCGUAGUAGCUAACACCUCGCAACUGGAGAGCGGCGCGGCCAUGCCGUAAAACACCCAACUUCUGAAUGUUGACCUCGAAUCAGGUAGAAAUACCCGCUGAACUUAAGCAUAUCAAUAAGCGGAGGA
rnacentral:misc_RNA from 1 species